GAUGAACGCUGGCGGCGUGCCUAAUACAUGCAAGUCGAGCGAACAGAUGAGGAGCUUGCUCCUCUGACGUUAGCGGCGGACGGGUGAGUAACACGUGGAUAACCUCCCUAUAAGACUGGGAUAACUUCGGGAAACCGGAGCUAAUACCGGAUAAUAUAUUGAACCGCAUGGUUCAAUAGUGAAAGACGGUUUUGCUGUCACUUAUAGAUGGAUCCGCGCCGCAUUAGCUAGUUGGUAAGGUAACGGCUUACCAAGGCGACGAUGCGUAGCCGACCUGAGAGGGUGAUCGGCCACACUGGAACUGAGACACGGUCCAGGCUCCUACGGGAGGCAGCAGUAGGGAAUCUUCCGCAAUGGGCGAAAGCCUGACGGAGCAACGCCGCGUGAGUGAUGAAGGUCUUCGGAUCGUAAAACUCUGUUAUUAGGGAAGAACAAAUGUGUAAGUAACUAUGCACGUCUUGACGGUACCUAAUCAGAAAGCCACGGCUAACUACGUG
rnacentral:rRNA from 1 species